rnacentral:rRNA from 1 species
AACGUAGGAGACAAACGUUAUCCGGAGUUACUGGGCGUAAAGGGCGUGUAGGUGGUUAUGUAAGUCUGGCGUGAAAUUUUUCGGCUUAACCGGGAAAGGUCGUCGGAUACUGCAAAACUAGAGGACGGUAGAGGCGUGUGGAAUUCCGGGUGUAGUGGUGAAAAUGCGUAGAGAUCCGGAGGAACACCAGUGGCGAAGGCGACACGCUGGGCCGUACCUGACACUGAUGCGCGACAGCAUGGGGAGCAAACAGG